CAUUGGGCAAGGGUCACAAUUCUCAGUUAGUGGCUAAUGUGGGUCCCUAGGCCUCGACUAUUGGUUGAUGGCCUCAUUGGCCCUUAAAAAUAAAAAGAAAAGGAAAAAGAAAAAGAAAAAGAAAAGAAAAUUUUUUUAAAAAAAAUGUAAAAAUGUGGAUCUUCAGCUUUAACCAUGCUACAUACAAUAGUCGGUGUGUAUGUCAACAUUAUUAAACUAAAACU
rnacentral:lncRNA from 1 species